rnacentral:rRNA from 1 species
AUUGAACGCUGGCGGCAUGCUUUACACAUGCAAGUCGAACGGUAACAGGCCGCAAGGUGCUGACGAGUGGCGAACGGGUGAGUAAUGCAUCGGAACGUGCCCAGUCGUGGGGGAUAACUACUCGGAAGAGUAGCUAAUACCUCAUACGAUCUAUGGAUGAAAGCGGGGGACCGUAAGGCCUCGCGCGAUUGGAGCGGCCGAUGUCAGAUUAGGUAGUUGGUGGGGUAAAGGCUCACCAAGCCAACGAUCUGUAGCUGGUCUGAGAGGACGACCAGCCACACUGGGACUGAGACACGGCCCAGACUCCUACGGGAGGCAGCAGUGGGGAAUUUUGGACAAUGGGCGCAAGCCUGAUCCAGCAAUGCCGCGUGCAGGAAGAAGGCCUUCGGGUUGUAAACUGCUUUUGUACGGAACGAAACGGCUCUGGUUAAUACCCGGGGCUAAUGACGGUACCGUAAGAAUAAGCACCGGCUAACUACGUG